rnacentral:rRNA from 1 species
AACGAACGCUGGCGGCAGGCUUAACACAUGCAAGUCGAGCGCCCCGCAAGGGGAGCGGCAGACGGGUGAGUAACGCGUGGGAACGUACCUUUUGCUACGGAAUAACUCAGGGAAACUUGUGCUAAUACCGUAUGUGCCCUUCGGGGGAAAGAUUUAUCGGCAAAGGAUCGGCCCGCGUUGGAUUAGCUAGUUGGUGAGGUAAAGGCUCACCAAGGCGACGAUCCAUAGCUGGUCUGAGAGGAUGAUCAGCCACACUGGGACUGAGACACGGCCCAGACUCCUACGGGAGGCAGCAGUGGGGAAUAUUGGACAAUGGGCGCAAGCCUGAUCCAGCCAUGCCGCGUGAGUGAUGAAGGCCCUAGGGUUGUAAAGCUCUUUCACCGGUGAAGAUAAUGACGGUAACCGGAGAAGAAGCCUCGGCUAACUACGUGCCAGCCGCCGCGGUAA